rnacentral:rRNA from 1 species
CAGCCGCCGCGGGAACACGUAGGUGGCAAGCGUUGUCCGGAAUUAUUGGGCGUAAAGGGCUCGCAGGCGGUUUCUUAAGUCUGAUGUGAAAGCCCCCGGCUCAACCGGGGAGGGUCAUUGGAAACUGGGAAACUUGAGUGCUGAAGAGGAGAGUGGAGUUCCACGUGUAGCGGUGAAAUGCGUAGAGAUGUGGAGGAACACCAGUGGCGAAGGCGACUCUCUGGUCUGUAACUGACGCUGAGGAGCGAAAGCGUGGGGAGCGAACAGGAUUAGAUACCCCCGUAGUCCCUGUCUCUUUACA